rnacentral:tmRNA from 1 species
GGGGGCGAUCGGUUUCGACGGUGACCUGUUCGCCGCAGGGAAGCGUGCCGAGAACGCCGGGUCCGCUCGUGGAUGACCUCGGCAAAAGAAUAAGUGCUAAAUCUAACCGCACUGAGUUCGCUCUCGCUGCCUGAUUUUUAGUCAGGAUUAACCAGUGGGCAGCCGCUCCGUUCACUCCUCCUCGUCUUUGGGAGGAUGCUGAGCGUCGUUUAGAAGACUUGCUGAUGCAGUUGAGCCUCAGGGCUGCAUCGGGACUUUAACUGCGGAUAUGCUCGCCAUCAGUUGUCUGCGACAUCGA